CUAUUACAUUUUAAUUACUUUAAAACACUUUCAUAUUUUUGUGUUACUGUUCCUUUAAUGAUCAAGAAGGAAAUUUCUUUGGAAUGUAACCAGGACCAGGAGAAACAGGCCUACCUUCAACAUCUUGGGCGGAGAGUGGUACCUUAAAGGAACAGUAACACAAAAUUUUCAAAACGCAAAUUAAACUUUAAAACACUUUGAUUAACUUAUGUAACAUAGAAAGUUGUUAAUGAAUAAAUGACAUUACCUUGUAUGCAUAGGGCACAGUAAAAACAGCGAUGUGGCGACUGAUUUACUUCUGGUUAAAUUAAGUUAUUUUCCUGCAUUCUCUAGCGAGCAAGGAGAAUACUUUGAAGGGGAUUUAUAGCUUUUUUCAUUCCAGUUCAGGGAGAGGGGUGGGCAACAAAUGCUGUUUUAGCCCCUGCUCUGUUUUUAUUUCUGUGGGAGCGAGGGGGCUGCAGAGAUUGUACAGGAGAGGGAGGGGGCGGAGGGGGAAGCUGACCAGGAGUAUGUGACAAAAGGAGCUGCUGCCUGAGCCCUAUCAGUACUUGGUAAGGUUAUUAUUUAAAAUCUACUUAUGAUAUUAAUAUUUCUGUAUGAUAUAUUUUCUAAUAAAAAUGUAUAGAAGGCAUGUGUUUAAUGUAAAAUUUUUGUGUUACUGGUCCUUUAAGAUAGACUAAGGUGAACCCACAGAUCUUAGAGAAGGAGGCAUCUAUGAAAUUUCCUGCUGCUCCGGAAUCCAGGAAGGCCUGACAUGGGAAAAACAAGGUUUCCUGCAGGACAAUUCUGAAAAAAAGACCUGAACCAUCUGCAGAACCUGCUGCUGUAACAUAAUUUUCCUGUAUCAAUACUUGAUAGAUUAAGGUGAACCCGCAGAUCUUAGAGAAGGAGGCAUCUAUGAAAUUUCCUGCUGCUCCAGAAUCCAGGAAGGCCUGACAAGGGAACAACAAGGUUUCCUGCAGGACAAUUCUGAAAAAAAGACCUGAACCAUCUGCAGAACCUGCUGCUGUAACAUCAUUUUCCUGUAUCUGGUUUGGCCAGCUUGCUUUGUGAUGGGAUUAGACAGUAGUUAAUUGCAAUUUGCCCAGUCUGGCCCCACACUGUAUGAAAACAAAUGACAGGGGUGAACUGGGCUCAGAGUUGGGAGGAAGGAACUAAAGAAGUGGGCUAAACUGGAAAAAAUAGAGUUUUGUGGAAGAGGAGAGUGAAAAGAUGUGAGGGGUAGCGAAAAACAAAAGCAGUAGAAAGGGGUAGAGAAUAGGGAAACUAUGAACAGAAUACAGUGGGGUGGAACAAAUAUUAAUAGUACAUGGGAAAAUUGACAAAUGUAAGAAGAGAACUGAUACACUAAUAUGGAAAAAAAAAGAAAGAGGGCCACACUCCUUCUCCAAUAUUAAAAAAAUAACUUUUAUUGGUUCAUUAAAACCACAAGUGGCUACUGUAAUACAAAAAAACCUGACGCAUUUUGAACCCGUUAUCAUAGGCUAGCUUAGAUGACAUCCAUACAGUAAUUUUAAACAAUUGUAAACAGCUCUAUCUAAAUGUGUAAGACCAAACUUUUCACAAUACAAUUUAAUUAAAAAACAUUUAUUAUUUAUUAAAUAUAAGAAACUUUGAAUGGAAGAAAAUUCUAUACGUCUAGCUUAAUUUCCAGGUUAAAAUAUACAGCAUUUAUAAUAGUACAGGUAUGAGAUCCGUUACCCGGAAACCCGUUAUCCAGAAAGUUCCUAAUUGAAGGAAGACCA